rnacentral:misc_RNA from 1 species
UUUUUUACCACUGUUUCUCUGAAUUGUAAACUUAAAUAAGUUAAAACUUUCAACAACGGAUCUCUUGGUUCUGGCAUCGAUGAAGAACGCAGCGAAAUGCGAUAAGUAAUGUGAAUUGCAGAAUUCAGUGAAUCAUCGAAUCUUUGAACGCACAUUGCGCCCAUUAGUAUUCUAGUGGGCAUGCCUAUUCGAGCGUCAUUUCGACCCUUAAGCCCCUGUUGCUUAGCGUUGGGAAUCUACAGCGUAGUUCCUUAAAGUUAGUGGCGGAGUUAGGGUACACUCUCAGCGUAGUAAUCUUUCUCGCUCGUGUGGUGGCCCUGGCUGCUAGCCGUUAAACCCCUAUAUUUUCUAGUGGUUGACCUCGGAUUAGGUAGGAAUACCCGCUGAACUUAAGCAUAUCAAUAAGCGGAGGAAAAGAAACCAACAGGGAUUGCCCUAGUAACGGCGAGUGAAGCGGCAAUAGCUCAAAUUUGAAAUCUGGCCCUCGUGGUCCGAGUUGUAAUUUGUAGAGGAUGCUUUUGGUGCGGUGCCUUCCGAGUUCCCUGGAACGGGACGCCAAAGAGGGUGAGAGCCCCGUACGGUUGGACACCUACCCUAUAUAUAGCUCCUUCGACGAGUCGAGUAGUUUGGGAAUGCUGCUCUAAAUGGGAGGUAAAUUUCUUCUAAAGCUAAAUACCGGCCAGAGACCGAUAGCGCACAAGUAGAGUGAUCGAAAGAUGAAAAGCACUUUGAAAAGAGGGUUAAAUAGCACGUGAAAUUGUUGAAAGGGAAGCGUUUGCGACCAGACCUUUUCCAGGGGGAUCAUCCGGUGUUCUCACCGGUGCACUUCCCUUGGUUUAGGCCAGCAUCGGUUUUCUUAGGGGGAUAAAGGCUUAGGGAACGUAGCUCUUUCGGGAGUGUUAUAGCCCUUUGCGUAAUACCCCUCGGGGGACCGAGGACCGC